rnacentral:tRNA from 1 species
GGAAAGAUGUCCGAGUGGUCGAUGGUGCAUCGUUGGAAGCGAUGUAUACCGAAAGGUAUCGGGGGUUCGAAUCCCCCUCUUUCCGC